rnacentral:tRNA from 1 species
GGAGUGUGGCUCAGUGACAAAGUGCUUGCUUGACAUGCAUGAGGCCCUGGGUUCAAAUCCCAAGCACCA